rnacentral:rRNA from 1 species
UGGGGAAUAUUGGACAAUGGAGGAAACUCUGAUCCAGCAAUUCUGUGUGUGUGAAGAAGGUUUUAGGACUGUAAAACACUUUUAGUAGGGAAGAAAAAAAUGACGGUACCUACAGAAGAAGCAACGGCUAAAUACGUGCCAGCAGCCGCGGUAAUACGUAUGUUGCGAGCGUUAUCCGGAAUUAUUGGGCUUAAAGGGCAUCUAGGCGGUAAGACAAGUUGAAGGUGAAAACCUGUGGCUCAACCAUAGUCUUGCCUACAAAACUGUUGAACUAGAGUACUGGAAAGGUGGGUGGAACUACACGAGUAGAGGUGAAAUUCGUAGAUAUGUGUAGGAAUGCCAAUGAUGAAGAUAACUAACUGGACAGAAACUGACGCUGAAGUGCGAAAGCUAGGGGAGCAAACAGG